rnacentral:rRNA from 1 species
AUGCUGAAUGUUCACCUGCGAACAAUUACAAGAAUAUGGAAUCUAGCCAAAAGACAACUUGCAGCAGGCCAAGAAGUUGAUGUUUCAAGCAAAAAGAAUAAAAGUGGUAGGAAGAGGAAAGAACUAGAUCUGUCGAGAAUAGCUACAAUCCCUUUGAACAAAAGAAGAACAAUACGUUCUCUUGCAAGGUGCUUAGGUGUUCCCCGAUCAACCCUACAUGACAGAUUUCAGUUGCAAGAGUUGAAACGCAUCACGAGCACCAUCAAACCCACCCUCAAGCCAGAGAACAAGAUAGCGAGACUAAAGUUCUGCCUAUCCGUGAUGGAUGAAAGAUGGAUAUCAAGUCCUUGGCCUAGUUUGAAGCCAAUGACAAAUAUGGUCCACAUCGAUGAGAAAUGGUAUGACAUGGCCCGAGUGAAGAGUAGCUACUACGUACUGCCUGCAGAAGAACAACCAAAUCGAAAUGUGCACAAUACUCAUAGCAUUGGGAAGGUAAUGUUUCUAACAGAUGUGGCCAAACCUCGCUACAAUGAAGAUGGGGAGAUGACAUUUGAUGGAAAGCUUGGAAUUUGGCCGUUCGUGAUAGAGACCGAGGCACAACGAACAAGCCACAACAGAGAUAGGGGGACAAUAGAGUUGAGGCCGGUCAAAGUUACUAGACAUGUGUGCAGAGAUUACCUGAUCAAUAAAGUAAUCCCUGCCAUUCAAGACAAAUGGCCGGACGGUGACGAGGACACAAUGAUCUUCAUUCAACAAGAUAAUGCAACACCGCAUGUCCUCCCUAAUGAUGUCGGUUUUCUAGAAGCCGUGGCACAGACAGAUCUAGAUAUUCGACUAUUGCAACAACCACCGAACAACCCUGAGCUCAAUGUUCUAGAUCUUUGUUUCCACUGCUCCCUCCAAUCCCUAACUGACUGCAGAUCACCUAUGAAUAUCCAGGAAUUAGUACAGGGUGUAGAGGAGGAGUUUGAGAACUAUGAUGCCCGUAAGCUGUUCAAAAGCUUCAUGACGUUGCAAGCAGUCAUGGUGGAAGUGAUGAAAGAUCAAGGAGGAAACAACUACAAGAUGCCGCAUCUGCAUAAGGAACGUCUACAGAAUGCUGGAGAGGAAAUAAUCGGUGUAUACUGCAGUCCUGAGCUAAUUACUGACACCAAGGUCAUCAUAGAACAAGGAAAUGAGUAG